rnacentral:rRNA from 1 species
GAUGAACGCUGGCGGCGUGCCUAAUACAUGCAAGUCGAGCGAACGGACGAGAAGCUUGCUUCUCUGAUGUUAGCGGCUGACGGGUGAGUAACACGUGGAUAACCUACCUAUAAGACUGGGAUAACUUCGGGAAACCGGAGCUAAUACCGGAUAAUAUUUUGAACCGCAUGGUUCAAAAGUGAAAGACGGUCUUGCUGUCACUUAUAGAUGGAUCCGCGCUGCAUUAGCUAGUUGGUAAGGUAACGGCUUACCAAGGCAACGAUGCAUAGCCGACCUGAGAGGGUGAUCGGCCACACUGGAACUGAGACACGGUCCAGACUCCUACGGGAGGCAGCAGUAGGGAAUAUUCCGCAAUGGGCGCAAGCCUGACGGAGCAACGCCGCGUGAGUGAUGAAGGCCUUCGGAUCGUAAAACUCUGUUAUUAGGGAAGAACAUAUGUGUAAGUAACUGUGCACAUCUUGACGGUACCUAAUCAGAAAGCAACGGCUAACUACGUG